rnacentral:rRNA from 1 species
UAGGGAAUCUUCCACAAUGGGCGCAAGCCUGAUGGAGCAACACCGCGUGAGUGAAGAAGGGUUUCGGCUCGUAAAGCUCUGUUGUUAAAGAAGAACACGUAUGAGAGUAACUGUUCAUACGUUGACGGUAUUUAACCAGAAAGUCACGGCUAACUAUGUGCCA